rnacentral:lncRNA from 1 species
AUCUCAAAGAAGCAGGCUUCACUAGGUUUCACGCGGGUGAAUGUUAAGACAUGGUCUCUGAGAAGCAGCUCAUCUCUAAUGGCUGUGGGGUCAAAUACAUCCCCCAUUCGUGGUCUCCUAGACAAGAGUCAGGCCCUGCAUUCCUGAUGUUCCACGUGUUCUCCUGAACCCUGCCAAAUCACGAAGAUCACACAGCCACAAGGAGGGCUGGAUCAAGAGAGAGGCUGUUUGUGUUCUGUGCAGCGCUGGGGACAUCAGGGAGGCUACGCACGAUGCUUGGAGCCCGGUGAACCCUUGAUGGCAGGUAUAGAGAGACAUGGCUGGCACCACGCUGCUUCAUGCUGAACUUUGGUUUGCUCUGGUCUGAUCAUUCCUCACUAUGUCCCCAUUCCUCCUUGUGAAGAGGAAUAUUCAUUAUGUGCUAUUGUGUACUAAAAGCUUGUAACUUUUAUUAUUAUUAUUAUUAUUAUUAUUAUUACAUAGGAGAAACUCUAGACUUUUGAAAAGUGUUGGGACUCUUACAGACUAUAGGGACGUUUAGUGACAGGUGGAAUUCAUCUUAUAAAAUGGCUUUGCGAUUAUAGGGACAAAAGAUGGGAAGUUUUGGCUUACAAGUAAUGCAUCUGGGUGUCAUAGUGUCAAGGGCUGGACUUGUAAUGGCUGACACUGAACUUGACGAGGUCUAGAAUCCCUUAGGGGCGAAUCUCUGAACAUGUUCAUAAGAGAGUUUUUAGAUUGGAUUAACUGGGGUGGUUUGAAUGAAAAAUAUCCCCCCCUAGGACUAGGUGUUAGAAUACUCGGUCUCCAGUUGCAGGUGCUGUUUGCAGUGGAUUAGGAGGUGUGGCCUUGGUAGAGGAAAUAUGUCACGGCUGGGGAUGAGACAGGCUUUGAUGUUUAAAAGCCACUCUCCCUUCCCAGUUCUCUCCUUACCCCCUUCUGAUUGCAGUGAGGUGAGUCCUUGGUUCUCAGCUUUCAACUCUGGCUGCCAAGACUGCUGCCUGCUGCCAUACUGUCUCCACCAUUAUGGACCCUAAACCUCUGGAACCAUAAGCCUCAAUAAAUCCUUCCUUCUAAAAGUU